CCUUGUUGAUCCUGCCAAUAGUCAUAUGCUUGUCUCAAAGAUUAACCCACACAUGUGUAAGUAUGAACUAAUUCAGACUUCGAAACUGUGAAUGGCUCAUUAAAUCAGUUAUAGCUUGUUUGAUGGUAUCUACUACUCGGAUAACCGUAAUAAUUCUAGAGUUAAUACGUGCAACAAACCCCGACUUUAUUAGAUAAAAGGUCAAUGCAGGAUCUGCCUGUUGCUUUGAUGAUUCAUGAUAACUCGUCGGAUCGCACGACCUUUGUGUUGGCGAUGCAUCAUUCAAAUUUCUGCCCUAUCAACUUUCGAUGGUAGGAUAGUGGCCUACCAUGGUGGUGACGAGUGAUGGAGAAUUAGGGUUCGAUUCUGGAGAGGGAGCCUGAGAAAUGGCUACCACGUCCAAGGAAGGCAGCAUGCGUGCAAAUUACCCAAUCCUAACACGGGGAGGUAGUGACAAUAAAUAACAAUAUCGGGCUCAUUGAGUCUGGUAAUUGGAAUGAGUAUGAUCUAAAUCCCUUAACGAGGAUCCAUUGGAGGGCAUGUCUUGUGCCAACAGCCGCGGUAAUUCCAGCUCCAAUAGCAUGUAUUUAAGUUGUUGCAGUUAAAAAGCUCGUAGUUGGACCUUGGGUUGGGUUGAUCGGUCCGCCUCUGGUGUGCACUGGUUGGUUCAUCCCUUCUGUAGCACCUCAAAUUUGCACCUAUCAUUAUACAUACAAUUUCAUAUUAGGUCAUAGCAUAUCAUGAUCCAUUGCAUAGCAUUGCAUUGCCUCUUUUGCCUCAAGUGCAAGCCAAUCAAGAAAUUAGGUCAAACUGAUCAGGAGAUCAGUCAGUCAAUCAAGCAAAGGUGUUUCUCAAGGAACCAAUGCCCUAGGUUGUGUGCAACAAGUUCACAUGACUUGGUGGUCCAUUUGAAGUGUUCAAGGCAAGGGUUGAAGGCUCAAAGGUCAUCAGUUCAUGCACAGACAGUCAAAAGUCAAAGAAAGUCAACUGUCAGUCAAGGCAGUGGAUGGUGGUCAUUCUUGUGGAAUUUGGGCACCAUGGUCAAUAAUCAAGAGUUCAUAUAGCUUGGGACAUCAUUUGAAGUCAAAUUCUCAAGGAAUUAGGGUUUGGAAGUCAUCAGUCAAUGCAUAAUCAGUCAGAAACCCUAAAAGUCAACUGUUGGUCAACUGUCCAUUUAAUCAGUGAUUGGAUGAUUGGAAUUGGUUUGUGAGAGUUCAUUCAUGUCCAAAUAGUCAUCAUACAUCAUGCCAAACACCAUCAUGGAAGAAUUUGAAGCCAGAUCAAAA
rnacentral:rRNA from 1 species